rnacentral:rRNA from 1 species
CCUACGGGGGGCUGCAGUGGGGAAUAUUGGACAAUGGGGGGAACCCUGAUCCAGCCAUGCCGCGUGCGUGAAGAAGGCCCUCGGGUUGUAAAGCACUUUCAGUGAGGAAGAACGCCUGGUGGUUAAUACCCAUCAGGAAAGACAUCACUCACAGAAGAAGCACCGGCUAACUCCGUGCCAGCAGCCGCGGUAAUACGGAGGGUGCGAGCGUUAAUCGGAAUUACUGGGCGUAAAGCGCGCGUAGGUGGCUUGAUAAGCCGGUUGUGAAAGCCCCGGGCUCAACCUGGGAACGGCAUCCGGAACUGUCAAGCUAGAGUGCAGGAGAGGAAGGUAGAAUUCCCGGUGUAGCGGUGAAAUGCGUAGAGAUCGGGAGGAAUACCAGUGGCGAAGGCGGCCUUCUGGACUGACACUGACACUGAGGUGCGAAAGCGUGGGUAGCAAACAGGAUUAGAUACCCCAGUAGUC